rnacentral:rRNA from 1 species
UCCUCCAAGGCUAAAUACUCCUGACUGACCGAUAGUGAACCAGUACCGUGAGGGAAAGGCGAAAAGAACCCCGGCGAGGGGAGUGAAAAAGAACCUGAAACCGUGUACGUACAAGCAGUGGGAGCACGCUUAGGCGUGUGACUGCGUACCUUUUGUAUAAUGGGUCAGCGACUUAUAUUCUGUAGCAAGGUUAACCGAAUAGGGGAGCCGAAGGGAAACCGAGUCUUAACUGGGCGUUAAGUUGCAGGGUAUAGACCCGAAACCCGGUGAUCUAGCCAUGGGCAGGUUGAAGGUUGGGUAACACUAACUGGAGGACCGAACCGACUAAUGUUGAAAAAUUAGCGGAUGACUUGUGGCUGGGGGUGAAAGGCCAAUCAAACCGGGAGAUAGCUGGUUCUCCCCGAAAGCUAUUUAGGUAGCGCCUCGUGAAUUCAUCUCCGGGGGUAGAGCACUGUUUCGGCAAGGGGGUCAUCCCGACUUACCAACCCGAUGCAAACUGCGAAUACCGGAGAAUGUUAUCACGGGAGACACACGGCGGGUGCUAACGUCCGUCGUGAAGAGGGAAACAACCCAGACCGCCAGCUAAGGUCCCAAAGUCAUGGUUAAGUGGGAAACGAUGUGGGAAGGCCCAGACAGCCAGGAUGUUGGCUUAGAAGCAGCCAUCAUUUAAAGAAAGCGUAAUAGCUCACUGGUCGAGUCGGCCUGCGCGGAAGAUGUAACGGGGCUAAACCAUGCAC